AACGUAUCGUCGUUUUUCGUUUCUUCGUCUAUUUUCGACACUUCACGUCUGUAGUAAGUCGAGAAACGACGGUGAUUUUCACGUGAUUUUAUAUGGUACGUUCGUGGUGGCUCGCGGUCCAGACGCAUCCCCGUAGAGAUUGUUGCCGCGAACGCACGCCCGGUAUAUACCUGUAGAUAGAUAUACAUACAUAUAUAUAUAUACACACACACACAGAGGGAGAGAUACGUAUAGCAGAUAUACAGUAAUACAGUGCCACAGUGGAGUUACCAGUGGGGAAAACAAAAAUUAGUUUGCAAGCGGACGUGCCUCACGGCGACCGUCGUUCACCACGUUCUGGAUCGCGGCUGCAGCAGCAGGAGCGAUAGGAAAUCGAAAGGAUCGGGCCAUCGUCUCUCGAAGAGGAGAGAGAGAGAGACCACGAACAUUGUCGAGUUCGAGACACACAGGACGAAGGGCAACA